rnacentral:tRNA from 1 species
GUAGCCAUAGCUCAGUUGGUUAGAGUAUCAGAUUGUGAUUCUGAGGGUCGUGGGUUCGAGCCCCAUUGGCUACCCCA